rnacentral:rRNA from 1 species
CAGCAGCCGCGGUAAUACGUAGGGUGCAAGCGUUAAUCGGAAUUACUGGGCGUAAAGCGUGCGCAGGCGGUUCGCUAAGACAGAUGUGAAAUUCCCGGGCUUAACCUGGGAACUGCAUUUGUGACUGGCGGGCUAGAGUAUGGCAGAGGGGGGUAGAAUUCCACGUGUAGCAGUGAAAUGCGUAGAGAUGUGGAGGAAUACCGAUGGCGAAGGCAGCCCCCUGGGCCAACACUGACGCUCAUGCGCGAAAGCGUGGGGAUCAAACAGGAUUAGAGACCCCUGUAGUCCCUGUCUCUUAUAC